UGGCGGACGGGUGAGUAAUGUCUGGGAAACUGCCUGAUGGAGGGGGAUAACUACUGGAAACGGUAGCAAUACCGCAUAACGUCGCAAGACCAAAGAGGGGGACCUUCGGGCCUCUUGCCAUCGGAUGUGCCCAGAUGGGAUUAGCUAGUAGGUGGGGUAACGGCUCACCUAGGCGACGAUCCCUAGCUGGUCUGAGAGGAUGACCAGCCACACUGGAACUGAGACACGGUCCAG
rnacentral:rRNA from 1 species